CCUACGGGAGGCAGCAGUUAGGAAUCUUGCGCAAUGGGCGAAAGCCUGACGCAGCGACGCCUCGUGGGGGAUGAAGGCUCUCGGGUUGUAAACCCCUUUCGGCAGGAACGAAAUUGACGGUACCUGAAGAAGAAGCACCGGCCAACUACGUGCCAGCAGCCGCGGUAAUACGUAGGGUGCAAGCGUUGUCCGGAUUUAUUGGGCGUAAAGAGCUCGUAGGCGGCUUCGUAAGUCGGGUGUGAAACCUCCAGGCUCAACCUGGAGACGCCACCCGAUACUGCGAUAGCUAGAGUCUGGUAGGGGAUCACGGAAUUCCUGGUGUAGCGGUGAAAUGCGCAGAUAUCAGGAGGAACACCGAUGGCGAAGGCAGUGAUCUGGGCCAGUACUGACGCUGAGGAGCGAAAGCGUGGGGAGCAAACAGGAUUAGAUACCCUGGUAGUCCACGCCGUAAACGUUGGGCACUAAGUGUGGGUCCUUAUACACGGAGUCGUCGCGCACGCUACGACAUAAGUCGCCGCCGUCGGAGUACGGUCGCGAGACGUAAACUAAUAGAUAGACGCGNGAGACGUGCGACGACGACGACGAGGAGAG
rnacentral:rRNA from 1 species